rnacentral:siRNA from 1 species
GAGGAAAAAUGUAGGACCCACAUG